rnacentral:rRNA from 1 species
AUUGAACGCUGGCGGCAGGCUUAACACAUGCAAGUCGAGCGGAGAUGAGGUGCUUGCACCUUAUCUUAGCGGCGGACAGGUGAGUAAUGCUUAGGAAUCUGCCUAUUAGUGGGGGACAACAUUCCGAAAGGAAUGCUAAUACCGCAUACGUCCUACGGGAGAAAGCAGGGGAUCUUCGGACCUUGCGCUAAUAGAUGAGCCUAAGUCGGAUUAGCUAGUUGGUGGGGUAAAGGCCUACCAAGGCGACGAUCUGUAGCGGGUCUGAGAGGAUGAUCCGCCACACUGGGACUGAGACACGGCCCAGACUCCUACGGGAGGCAGCAGUGGGGAAUAUUGGACAAUGGGGGAAACCCUGAUCCAGCCAUGCCGCGUGUGUGAAGAAGGCCUUAUGGUUGUAAAGCACUUUAAGCGAGGAGGAGGCUACUGAGACUAAUACUCUUGGAUAGUGGACGUUACUCGCAGAAUAAGCACCGGCUGACUCUGUGCCAGCAGCCGCGGUAA